rnacentral:rRNA from 1 species
GACGAACGCUGGCGGCGUGCCUAAUACAUGCAAGUCGAGCGCAGGAAACUGACGGAACUCUUCGGAGGGAAGGCAGCGGAAUGAGCGGCGGACGGGUGAGUAACACGUAAGGAACCUGCCUCAAGGAUUAGGAUAACUCCGGGAAACCGGGGCUAAUACCGAAUAAUCCUUCGGACCUCAUGGUCCGAUGUUGAACGAAGGUUUCGGCUGUCACUACAGGAUGGGCCCGCGGCGCAUUAGCUAGUUGGUGAGGUAACGGCUCACCAAGGCCACGAUGCGUAGCCGACCUGAGAGGGUGAUCGGCCACACUGGGACUGAGACACGGCCCAGACUCCUACGGGAGGCAGCAGUAGGGAAUCUUCCACAAUGGACGAAAGUCUGAUGGAGCAACGCCGCGUGAGUGAAGAAGGUUCUCGGAUCGUAAAACUCUGUUGUGAGGGAAGAACAAGUACCGGAGUAACUGCCGGUGCCUUGACGGUACCUCAUUAGAAAGCCACGGCUAACUACGUGCCAGCCGCCGCUGUAAGAC